rnacentral:rRNA from 1 species
UAGUGGCGAACGGGUGAGUAACACGUGGGCAAUCUGCCCUGCACUCUGGGACAAGCCCUGGAAACGGGGUCUAAUACCGGAUAUGAGCUAGAACCGCAUGGUUCUGGUUGUAAAGCUCCGGCGGUGCAGGAUGAGCCCGCGGCCUAUCAGCUUGUUGGUGAGGUAAUGGCUCACCAAGGCGACGACGGGUAGCCGGCCUGAGAGGGCGACCGGCCACACUGGGACUGAGACACGGCCCAGACUCCUACGGGAGGCAGCAGUGGGGAAUAUUGCACAAUGGGCGAAAGCCUGAUGCAGCGACGCCGCGUGAGGGAUGACGGCCUUCGGGUUGUAAACCUCUUUCAGCAGGGAAGAAGCGAAAGUGACGGUACCUGCAGAAGAAGCGCCGGCUAACUACGUGCCAGCAGCCGCGGUAAUACGUAGGGCGCAAGCGUUGUCCGGAAUUAUUGGGCGUAAAGAGCUCGUAGGCGGCUUGUCACGUCGAUUGUGAAAGCCCGGGGCUUAACCCCGGGUCUGCAGUCGAUACGGGNCUAGCUAGNGUGUGGNAGGGGAGAUCGGAAUUCCCU